rnacentral:lncRNA from 1 species
UUUUUUUUUUUUUUUUUUUUUUUUUUAGGGCUGCUCCCACAGCGUAUGGAGGUUUCCAGGUUAGGGUUCGAAUCAGAACUGUAGCCACCAGUCUACUCCACAGCCACAGCAAUGCGGGAUCUGAGCCACAUCUUCGACCUACACCACAGCUCAGGGCAACUCUGACCCAUUGAGCGAGCCAGGGAUCGAACCUUCAUCCUCAUGGCUACUAGUUGGAUUCUUUACACUUGGCCACAACAGGAGCUCCCUAAAUAGCCAUUCUUUAUUUCAUGUGAAUUUCCUUGCUUAUAUGUGUCUUUCCAAAUGAGAGUUUUGUUUGGUGGGGCAGUAUUUUUAAUUACUUCACAUAUAAUUUGUCUUCUUUUUUUGUUGUUUCUCCUCCAACUUCAUGCCGAGAAGGCCCGUUCUGGCUGUGAGUACCUCUUAUCUGUUGCUGUUGGUUAUGUGCUCUGUGGGUUUCAGGCCCCACAGUUUACCCACCCACUCCCCCAGUGAUGGACACACGAGUGGUACCCACCUCUCCACUGCCAUAAACAAAGCUGCCAUGGAACAUGCCCUUGCCCUUGCCCUGUGCACCUGUGUGACUGUCUCUGUGCUGCAUGCCAGGUCAGAGUGGGCCCAUAUUGCUGUCAGGAUGGAGAGAUGGUUGCAAGAUGCAUAUCACAAGGUACACUUCUUCCGUGUCUCUGCCAGCAGUUGGUAUUCCACUUUCUCAUUUUUGCCAAAUUAAUAUCUCAUGGUUUCAAUUUGCAUUUCUCUGAUUACUAAUGAGGUAGAACAUGUCUCCAUAUGCAAAUCAACCAUAAAUUUUCUAAUUCAAAAGCCAAGUUCUUUCCCUUAAACCUCAUCUGAUCCUUUUCAAACGACUUCGGAUUUUUGAAUGGGAUUUUUCAAACAUGUACAGAAGUAUAGAUGUUUUCACAUGAAUGCCUGUGUAUCCAUUUCCUUGCAUCAACAGCUCACAUUUUGCCAUCCUUGUUUGGGGCCCCAGCACGAUGACUAAUCAAGCGUUGGCUGUACAGCACUAGGCUGAAUGAUGCCUGCACUCCAAAUGUGGUCUGUGUUGUUCCUAAUCCCUGCAGCCUGUGACUAUAUUUCCUUACAUUCCAGUAGGGACUUUGCGAUGUGAUUAAGGAUUUUGAGAUAAGCAGAUUGUCAUGGAUUAGCUGGUGCGUCCAGCUAUAACCAUAAGGGACUUUAUAAUGAAAGAAAACAAAGAGGCAGGAGGGUCACAGAGCAGGAGAUGUGAUGAUUAAGGCAGAGAGAGUCUGGAGGGAUUUCAAGAAAGAGGCACAAGCCAAGGCAUGCAGGAGGCUUCUAGAAGCUAAAAGGAGUCAAAGAAACACUUUCUGCCCUAGAGCCUGCAGAAGGAAUUCAGAUCUUAGGAGUUCCCGUCGUGGCGAAGCGGAAAUGAAUCCGACUAGGAACCAUGAGGUGGGUUCCUUCCCUGGCCUUGCUCGGUGGGUUAAGGAUCCGGAGUUGGCCAUGAGCUGUGGUGUAGGUCACAGAGGCGGUUCCGAUCCUGCGUUGCGGUGGCUGUGGUGUGGGCCGGCGGCUAGCCUGAGAACCUCUAUAUGCCGCAGGUGCGGCCCUAAAAAGACAAAAAGAAUUCUGAUCUGUUGACACCUUGAUGUAAGCUGUAAGACCCAUUUUGGACUUGUGAUCUCUCGAACUAUAAGAUAAGCAAUAUGUUUUAUUUUACUAAUUUUGUAUUUAUUUGUUACAGCAGCGAUAGGAAACUAAUAUAACCUGUAUCACAUGCUUUAUACAAGAGAUAUAAACCAAUAUGCGGAUGCUUUUUUCUUUCUUCCUAAAUGCUCCCCCCGCUCCCCCAUUAACCUGCCUGUGUUUCUCCCCCACCUCCUGUCACCUUUCUGGGUCUGUCUUCAUAGGCCACCUGCUCAGAGAGGCCUAAUUCAAAUAACACACACUGCUAUGACUACACCUCCCCUUACCUUGCUUUAUUUUACUUCAUAGCAUCAAUUACCUGACAGUACAUACAGAUAAGUGUACCUUUGAACGUCUAUCCGAGAGCAGAGGCUUGUUCUGUUCAUUUUGCCUGGCGCAAAGUAAGGGCUCCAUGACAUAUCUGUUGAAUGAAGGAAGGAAGGAAAGAUCUUGUUUGUGAUAUGAAUCCUCUAACUUAAGGGCUUCCUAAAUGACAUGUCCCCUUCACCUAUCUUCUUAGAGUAAUUUGUGGAUUUCUUCCUUGAAUCUUUCAUAAAAUGAGGGCCCUCUGCUUAAAUCAAGGAAUGCUUCAAGCCCACAGUGGGUUGCCAAUGAGAAAUCGGCAUUAAUUCUGCUUUGCAAAUGAGAAAGACAUACCUGGUCCAAGGCCAGCAGCUUUUUAAACCCAUAACGGCAGGGAUCGGGGCCUCUGGGCAGAGGACGCAGGUGAAUCCGAUGGCUCCGAUCAAACGGCUCACCUGGGCUUCCCUGGACGAGCAGGUGUGUUUCAUCCUAAUUCACAAUCAAAGAUCAGCAGAGCCGGGAGGGAGCUGGGGGACCUGUGUGGAUUCACCCCCUGCCUUUGCUGCGUGGUUACUGAAACAUUCCCUGGGCUCUAGGGUUGGAAAAAUACACCACCCUGGGGUUCCUGUUGUAGCUCAACAGUAACGAACCCAACUGGUAUCCAUGAGGCUGCGGGUUUGAUCCCUGGCCUUGCUCACUGGGUCAAGGAUCCAGCAUUGCUGUGAGCUUCGGUGUAGGUCACAGACCCGGCUUGGAUCCUGCUUUGCUGUGGCUGCAGUGUAGACUGGCAGCUGCAGCUCUGAUUAGACCCCUAGGCUGGGAACCUCCAUAUGCCGCGAGCGCGGCCCUAAAAAGCAAAAAAAAAGAAAAAA